CCCACAGUGGGAAUUGUGACAUAUUACCAUGAUCAACAGCUAAAUGAUGUGACUCUUUUCUGCUGAUUGAGCCCUGCUUAUAGGGGGCAUUGUGACAUUUAGCUUCACCUUGAACCCAGAUGAUUUAACUCUCUUAUCUGGGCUUUGCCUAUGGAGAACACUGUGACAUAUCUCUGCACCGAUCAUCUAGGUGAAGUGACUCUCCUCUCCUGUCUGGUUCUGGCUCAAAGAAGGGAAUGUAACAUGUCACUGGACCCAGCACCUAGGUGGGAUUGUGACAUACCUAGGCCUAGCUCACAGGCGUGAUGAUGACUCUCAUAUGUGGACCCAACAAACAGAAAAGAUUUUGACUCUCAUGGCUAGAAUUAGGGGAAUAGGUAAGGUCUUCUGUUUCCUACUUGUGGUAAUGUCACAGAAGAU
rnacentral:lncRNA from 1 species